AUUGAACGCUGGCGGCAGGCCUAACACAUGCAAGUCGAGCGGAUGAAGGGAGCUUGCUCCUGGAUUCAGCGGCGGACGGGUGAGUAAUGCCUAGGAAUCUGCCUGGUAGUGGGGGAUAACGUCCGGAAACGGGCGCUAAUACCGCAUACGUCCUGAGGGAGAAAGUGGGGGAUCUUCGGACCUCACGCUAUCAGAUGAGCCUAGGUCGGAUUAGCUAGUUGGUGGGGUAAAGGCCUACCAAGGCGACGAUCCGUAACUGGUCUGAGAGGAGGAUCAGUCACACGGGAACUGAGACACGGUCCAGACUCCUACGGGAGGCAGCAGUGGGGAAUAUUGGACAAUGGGCGAAAGCCUGAUCCAGCCAUGCCGCGUGUGUGAAGAAGGUCUUCGGAUUGUAAAGCACUUUAAGUUGGGAGGAAGGGCAGUAAGUUAAUACCUUGCUGUUUUGACGUUACCAACAGAAUAAGCACCGGCUAACUUCGUG
rnacentral:rRNA from 1 species